AUUGAACGCUGGCGGCAUGCCUUACACAUGCAAGUCGAACGGCAGCACGGGUGCUUGCACCUGGUGGCGAGUGGCGAACGGGUGAGUAAUACAUCGGAACAUGUCCUGUAGUGGGGGAUAGCCCGGCGAAAGCCGGAUUAAUACCGCAUACGAUCCACGGAUGAAAGCGGGGGACCUUCGGGCCUCGCGCUAUAGGGUUGGCCGAUGGCUGAUUAGCUAGUUGGUGGGGUAAAGGCCUACCAAGGCGACGAUCAGUAGCUGGUCUGAGAGGACGACCAGCCACACUGGGACUGAGACACGGCCCAAACUCCUACGGGAGGCAGCAGUGGGGAAUUUUGGACAAUGGGCGAAAGCCUGAUCCAGCAAUGCCGCGUGUGUGAAGAAGGCCUUCGGGUUGUAAAGCACUUUUGUCCGGAAAGAAAUCCUUGACUCUAAUACAGUCGGGGGAUGACGGUACCGGAAGAAUAAGCACCGGCUAACUACGUG
rnacentral:rRNA from 1 species